rnacentral:rRNA from 1 species
AAUAAGCGGUGGAAAAGAAACCAACAGGGAUUNCCUUAGUAACGGCGAGCGAACAGGGAAGAGCCCAGUAUGAAAAUCUCCAGCCUUUGGCUGGCGAAUUGUAGUCUGGAGGAGCGCUCCCUGGGUGGGUGCUGGCCGAAGUAUACUGGAAGGUAUCGCUAUAGAGGGUGAGAGCCCCGUAGGCCAGUUGACCCGUCCUUCACGGGACGCUUUCAAAGAGUCGCGUUGUUUGGGAAUACAGCGCUAAUUGGGUGGUAAACCCCAUCUAAGGCUAAAUACCAAUGGGAGACCGAUAGCGAAAAAGUACCUCGAGGGAACGAUGAAAAGACCGCUGGCAAGCGAGUAAAAGAGUGCAUGAAAUUGUGUAGCGGGAAGGGAUGGCCUGGUAGCAUGCGCCCGGGUUGAUGUGGUUCGCAAGAGCUGCUGUCUGCACUGGGUGCUGGCUGGUACCGGCGCCCUUGGCCGUACAAUACUCUGCUGAGGUGCAGAGCACUGCGGGCGAGGGUGCCGAGGCUGAUCAGUUGCUUUGCCCCUUCGGGGAGCUGCUCUGACAGGGUACCAGCUGAAACCUGUCCAUCUGC